rnacentral:pre_miRNA from 1 species
GUGGGUACAAGGAAUCUACUUUAUUCAGCACACUAAGCUAAUUUUCGAGACAUAUUACAUACCUGAAACAUGUCUUAGAAAUUAGAGUUUUUCUUGGUUUGUGUGCUGAACAAGUAGAUUCCUUUUACCCA